UGCAGCAAACACUUGGUGCCGUGGGCAUAUACAGUGCUGCUCUUGGAAUUUCCACAAUGUUUCCCGUGCCCCUUGUAUAUUCUAACAUCAUCAUUGGCUUGGCCGGAACAGUAUACACAGCGUUGGGAGGACUGCGUGGCGUGGUUUGGGCAGACUGCGUUCAAGCAAUGGUGAUGUUUUUAUCACCAAUAACAAUCAUUGCAAAGGUUGUUCAUGACUCCCGUUAUGCGACUCCACCACUGAGGUCCAUUACAGAGUUCAACGUCACAGAGUACAU